rnacentral:misc_RNA from 1 species
CAAAAUUUGAAAAUCACGACCUAUUAUAAGUUUUUUUUUCUUUGUUGAUAAUUGGUACUGUAUGAACUAGCAAAAGUUAUAAACAGUUUCUCGUAGCUCAAAAAUGUUUGGAUCAUCGUAGUGUCAGAUAAUUUUGGCUUAUGUGAAGAAUUUGUUUUGUUGGGCAAGAGUUUAAAGAAUUUAUAAAGUGACUUUUCACCAAGGUUCAACAGCUGUUGUGCAAGAAGAAUCCCACCGUCAAUCACGUGUUUCAUCAAUCCAUCUGCCGCCACGCGUCAACAACACACUCGUUCUCCAAUCAUAUGCUUUGCUCCUCCCGCCGAUUAGAAAAAUAAAACGGUAAUUAAUGUUUUUGGUCACCGGAAUUGAAAACUGCUCUUUGAGUCUGCUUCUUUGUUUUACAGUUGUCACAAAAACUUUACUUUUUAAAACACCAUAAAUUCGUUAUAAAAAUAAAAACAAGAUUUGAAUGUGGCACGUUGCUUCCAUCCAUUUAAUCAUUUGAUAAUGAUACAUGAACCAUAAUCAUAUGGCAUGUUUAGUGAUUGAUACCUUCUCUAAUAUCCGCCUAAUUUGAUCUACUAUAUGGUCCGAUUAGAUUUAUAAAAAAAACAUAUUAGUUUAGUUUUGAGAAUGUUUUACGCAACAGUUUUCAUCAGAUCGACCUUGUUCAUUUGAUAUAUAAAAUUUGAAAUUGUUAGUAGAAAAAUAUUUGAAAUUUAAUUUUGAAGCUAACGAACGGGCUUUAAAUUUUUGAACAAAAUAACUAAACUUAUGAGUGAGAUUCUAUUUCGUGGUUGGUCAUUUCAAACAUGUUAUAUGUCAGAAAACAUAAUUUCAAAUUUUCAACUAUACUACUUCUCCGCCAGCUUUUAUACCAAAUUCCAGUUUUAAAUAUAUUUUUUGUUUGGUUUACUAUGC